rnacentral:rRNA from 1 species
UACGAAGGGGGCGAGCGUUGUUCGGAUUUACUGGGCGUAAAGGGCGCGUAGGCGGCGCGAGAAGUCGAGUGUGAAAGCCCCGGGCUCAACCUGGGAAUUGCGCUCGAUACUCUAGUGCUUGAGUUCGGGAGAGGAGCGUGGAAUUCCCAGUGUAGAGGUGAAAUUCGUAGAUAUUAGGAAGAACACCAGUGGCGAAGGCGGCCACCUGGCUCGGUACUGACGCUCAGGUUCGAAAGCGUGGGGAGCAAACAGG